AAAUGAAUAAUCGUUCAUUUCAUUUUUGGAUUUCACGAUGGGAGGUUGUGUUUUAUCGAGUGGAGUAAUGAAUAUAAUACGUUUUAAAAACGUGAAAGUUUCUUGAAACGAUUUUACGAAUGAAAAUAUUGAAAACAAAGUUAAACUGCGUUAUAAAUAUGAAUAGUUUAUGGAGGUCGCUGACAUGCAAAUGCCGUUGAUGGUUAUAUAAAAACAGAUAUGACGAUAUACAAUGAAGCUAAAUAAAUUUAGACAUGUGGAAUUUUAAAGGUAGUUUAAAGUUACGCUAGAUAUAUCUGGAAGCCUCUAACAAUAUUAGAAUGCACGCAGUUACAUUGUAACUAUGUAUUAUCCACUUUUGGGAUCAACUGAAAGGAUAAAAUAGAAUACCAGAUCUUAAUUAUGGUUUAAUUUCAUUGUUUAACAUCGUGGACAUUUAAACAAAAU